GGGGAGUCACACAGGAACCCAGGGACUAGGUAUAUGAGCUGCCAGACACUCCAAGACACUGAACGCUCAGUCUGAGGCACAACAAAACACACUUGCGCAGGGGAAUCCGUGCCACAUGCCGCUCUCCAGCCUGCUCUGGCUCUUCCUGGCCUCCGUCUUCUCUGGAUCCGGUGUGACCCAGGAAGUUACUCAAGACCAGCCAGCUGUGUUCAGUCAAGUAGGGGAGGCAGUCACCCUAAACUGUCGCUACGAAAUAGGUUGGACCUGGCUCAAGUAUAACCUUUUUUGGUAUAAACAGCCUCCCAGUGGAGAGAUGACUUUCCUUAUUCAUCAGCAUUCUGAUAGCUCAAAUGCAAGGGAUGGCCGCUACUCCGUAAACUUCCAGAAAGCACAAAAAUCCAUCAGCCUCACCAUUUCAGCCUUACAGCUGAAAGAUUCUGCUACAUACUUCUGUGCUCUCCGGGAACUCACAGUGCUUGAAGUAAUAGGAAAAGCUAAACAAAAACUCCAGAGCUCAAUAAGAGAGAGCCCCCCUGCUGCAGGACCCAGCUGA